CGGGACGGGUGAGUAAUGUCUGGGGAAACUGCCUGAUGGAGGGGGAUAACUACUGGAAACGGUAGCUAAUACCGCAUAACGUCGCAAGACCAAGAGGGGGACCUUCGGGCCUCUUGCCAUCGGAUGUGCCCAGAUGGGAUUAGCUAGUAGGUGGGGUAACGGCUCACCUAGGCGACGAUCCCUAGCUGGUCUGAGAGGAUGACCAGCCACACUGGAACUGAGACACGGUCCAG
rnacentral:rRNA from 1 species